rnacentral:rRNA from 1 species
UCUUUGUGGUGGAUCACUUGGGUACUGUGACGAUGAAGAACGUAGCAAGCCGCGUUAUUUAGUGCGACAUGCAAAGCUCGUGAAGCAUCGAAAUGUCGAACAUACACACAACUGUUCAGUAUUUAUACUGCAGCAGUACUUGCUCGAGAGUGUC